rnacentral:rRNA from 1 species
CUUGAAAGUAACUUGCUACUUUUGCCGGCAAGCGUGGGACCGUUGAUUAAUGCCUGGAGAUCUGCCCGGUCAAGGGGGAUAACGCUUGGAGACCACUGCUAAUACCGCAUACGCCCUACGGGGGAAAGGACGGGACCUUCUGGCCUUUCGCGAUUGGAUGAACCCAGGUGGGAUUAGCUAGUUGGUGGGGUAAUGGCUCACCAAGGCCACAAUCCCUAUGUGGUCUGACAGGAUGAUCUACCACACUGGAACUGAGACACUCUCCAGACUCGUACGGGAGGCAGCAGUGGGGAAUAUUGCACAAUGGGGAAAACCCUGAUGCUGCCAUGCCCCGUGUGUGAAGAAGGCCUUCAGGUUGUAAAGCACUUUCACCGAGGAUGAAAUGUUGGCGCCUAAUACGUGUCAACUGUGGCGUUACUCGCAGAACAAGCACCGGGUAACUCCGUGCCACCAACCGCGGUAAUACGGAGGGAGCAAGCGUUAAUCGGAAUUACUGGGCGUAUGCCGCACGCACGGGGUUGGAUAAGUUAGAUGUGAAAGCCCCGGGCUCAACCUGGGAAUUGCAUUUAAAACUGUCCAGCUAGAGUCUUGUAGAGGGGGGUAGAAUUCCAGGUGUAGCGGUGAAAUAAGUAGAGAUCUGGAGGAAUACCGGUGGCGAAGGCGGCCCCACUGGACAAAGACAGACGCUCAGGUGCGAAAGCGUGGGGAGCAAACAGGAUUAGAUACCCUGGUACUCCACGCCGUAAAAGAUGUCCAUUUGAAGGCUGUGUCCUUGAGUACGUGGCUUCCGGAGCUAACGCGUUAAAUCGACCGCCUGGGGAGUACGGCCGCAAGGUUAAAACUCAAAUGAAUUGACGGGGGCCCGCACAAGCGGUGGAGCAUGUGGUUUAAUUCGAUGCAACGCGAAGAACCUUACGUGGCCUUGACAUGUCUGGGAUCCCGUAGAGAUACGGGAGUGCCUUCGGGAAUCAGAACACAGGUGUUGCAUGGCUGUGGUCAGCUUGUGUCGUGAGAUUUUGGGUUAAGUCCCGCAACGAGCGCAACCCCUUUCCUUUGUUGCCAGCACGUAAUGGUGGGAACUCAAGCGAGACUGCCGGUGAUAAACCGGAGGAAGGUGGGGAUGACGUCAAGUCAUCAUGGCCGUUACGGCCAGGUCUACACCCGUGCUACAAUGGCGCGUACAGAGGGCCGCAAGCUAGCGAUAGUGAGUGAAUCCCAAAAAGCGCGUCGUAGUCCGGAUCGGAGUCUGCAACUCGACUCCGUGAAGUCGGAAUCGGUAGUCCUUGUACACACCGCCCGUCACACCAUGGGAGUGGGUUGCACCAGAAGUAGAUAGCUUAACCUUCGGGAGGGCG